rnacentral:misc_RNA from 1 species
AAAUUUUGUCGCCUUUCCGAAUUAUGGACCCGCCCCACAGUGUAAGAAAAAGAAGUGCCUUGCUGCUAGGAAAAGGAAGCGAAGAGAUGAUGAGAAAAAGUCUCAGCCGAGAAAUUGACGAAUUUUCUCGAGAGGCCCCUUAGAGCCCCCCAUUUAAACAAAGCUCUUUUUAUAAACUUUUUCAAGCAAAUUGUGAUGAACUAUGAGUAUUAUGAUUAUAAAAUGGCAUCAGAUUGGUUGUAUUUUGCUGAAACACGUGAUAAUAAUUGUUAUUCAUUUGUUAAAUCCAAAAUAUAUUGGUUUUUUUAGUCGGAAUUAAUAUAACAACAAAAAACCUUUCUCAGUAAAAUGAAGAUCGAUGUCAUUUUGAAAUAUUCAAACACUAUAUGUUGACUGUAUGUUUCUUGCAUAUUGUUAUCUGUCUUCCUAUUUUCUUAAUACACAGUGUUAACUCUG